GGAGGAAUAGCUCAACUGGUAGAGCACAUGCUUAGCAAACAUGAGGUCCCGGGUUCGAUCUCCAGCACCUCCU
rnacentral:tRNA from 1 species